rnacentral:miRNA from 3 species
AGACCAUGGGUUCUCAUUGU